AACGAACGCUGGCGGCAGGCCUGACACAUGCAAGUCGAACGCCCUAGCAAUAGGGAGUGGCAGACGGGUGAGUAACACGUGGGAACCUUCCCUAUAGUACGGAAUAUACCAGGGAAACUUGGAGCAAUACCGUAUACGCCCGAGAGGGGAAAGAUUUAUCGCUAUAGGAUGGGCCCGCGUAGGAUUAGCUAGUUGGUGAGGUAAUGGCUCACCAAGGCGACGAUCCUUAGCUGGUUUGAGAGAACGACCAGCCACACUGGGACUGAGACACGGCCCAGACUCCUACGGGAGGCAGCAGUGGGAAUAUUGGACAAUGGCGCAAGCCUGAUCCAGCCAUGCCGCGUGAGUGAUGAAGGCCUUAGGGUUGUAAAGCUC
rnacentral:rRNA from 1 species